UUUGUUACAGCAGAGAUGCCAGCAUAUUUAUAGGAAUUGCUUGAAGCCAGAGUCAUGGUGGAUGUAGGAAAGUGGCCAAUCUUCACUCUGCUCUCACCUCAAGAAAUUGCAUCUAUUCGGAAAGCCUGUGUCUUUGGCACCUCAGCCAAUGAAGCACUGUACGUUACUGAAGAUGAUGAGGUCUUUGUAUUUGGACUGAACUAUAGUAACUGUCUAGGAACUGGAGAUAACCAGAGUACACUUACACCCAAAAAGCUAGAAGCCUUAUGUGGAAAGAAGAUUAAAAGCCUUAGUUAUGGCAGUGGUCCACAUGUUCUUCUCAGCACUGAAGAUGGAGUUGUUUACGCCUGGGGCCACAAUGGAUAUAGCCAGCUUGGGAAUGGGACAACCAACCAAGGCAUUGCUCCCAUCCAAGUCUGUACCAAUCUCUUGAUCAAACAAGUGGUUGAAGUAGCUUGUGGCUCCCAUCAUUCAGUGGCUUUGGCAGCUGAUGGAGAGGUAUUUGCUUGGGGCUAUAACAACUGUGGCCAGGUGGGAUCAGGAUCUACAGCAAAUCAACCAACUCCUCGAAAAGUUACAAAUUGUUUACAUAUUAAGAGGGUAGUAGGCAUUGCCUGUGGUCAGACCUCAUCCAUGGCUGUUCUUGACACUGGUGAGGUGUAUGGCUGGGGUUACAAUGGCAACGGUCAGCUGGGCUUGGGAAACAAUGUCAAUCAGCUGACCCCUGUGCGAGUGGCAGCUUUGCACAGCGUGUGCGUGAACCAGAUUGUCUGCGGCUAUGCACACACUCUAGCACUAACAGAUGAGGGCUUGCUCUAUGCCUGGGGAGCUAACACGUAUGGGCAGCUUGGAACGGGCAAUAAAAAUAACUUGCUAAGCCCAACACACAUCAUGGUGGAGAAAGAAAGAGUAGUAGAAAUUGCAGCUUGCCACUCUGCCCACACAUCUGCUGCCAAGACCCAGGGAGGGCACGUGUACAUGUGGGGCCAGUGCCGGGGCCAGUCCGUGGUCCUGCCUCACCUCACCCACCUCUCAUGCACGGACGACGUGUUUGCCUGCUUUGCCACUCCCGCCGUCUCCUGGCGCCUCCUAUCUGUAGAGCAUGAAGAUUUUUUAACAGUUGCAGAGUCCCUGAAGAAAGAAUUUGACAGUCCAGAAACUGCUGACCUAAAGUUCAGAAUUGAUGGGAAAUAUAUCCAUGUCCAUAAAGCUGUUUUGAAAAUCAGGUGUGAGCACUUCCGAUCCAUGUUUCAGUCUUAUUGGAAUGAGGACAUGAAAGAAGUAAUAGAAAUAGACCAGUUUUCUUACCCAGUGUAUCGUGCCUUUCUUCAGUUCCUCUACACAGACACGGUGGACCUGCCCCCUGAAGAUGCUAUAGGUCUUUUGGAUUUGGCGACUUCUUACUGUGAAAACAGACUGAAAAAACUUUGUCAGCACAUUAUCAAGCAAGGAAUCACUGUGGAGAAUGCCUUUUCAUUAUUCUCUGCUGCAGUCAGAUACGAUGCAGAGGAUUUAGAAGAAUUCUGCUUUAAGUUUUGCAUCAAUCAUUUGACAGAAGUCACACAGACUGCAGCAUUUUGGCAAAUGGAUGGCCCUCUGCUAAAGGAAUUCAUUGCUAAAGCCAGUAAAUGUGGAGCCUUUAAGAACUGAAGCCAAGGCUGCUGGGUUAUGUGUGAGUGCUCUGGGGCACUGGUGAUGGUGUGUCUUUUGUGCUCUACUGGUGAUAUGCUGCAGGUAAAAACCAUCAGGUUGUCUUUUCAUAUCUGGGAGACAAUUCUGUGUAGGAAUAUAUGAAGGAUAUACGGCUUUUCCUGAACUUACUUCUUUUCAUAUCUGAGACACAAUUCUCUGUGUAAGAAUAUAUGAAGGAUAUAUGGCUUUUUCUGAACUUACUUUAAACAACUCUUGUUUCCAGACAUGUAUAUUUUAAAUGUGACUCUCAGUUUGUCUGGAACACUAUAAAAGGGUGAAAGUUUAGCUGGUUGUUUUUUUGUUUUUCAUUAGAGGAAUUUAUGAACUUGGAAAGGGGAUGUUUGUGGCAACUCUCCUGGCUCACUUAUCAGCAAUCCGUUUGACACUAGGGGUGGUGAUAGUUUGUGAAUUGUGAGUUAGACAUAGAGGCCCCACCAUGAAUUAAAGAUGCUGACUUUGGGGCUUACUGAAUUACUGCAUUAGUUGCUAGCUCAACUGCCUUACUGUGAAAGAAUAGCUGAGAUAUUUUGAGACUUUUUUGUGUGUGUUUGCACUAUUGGACUUUUUCUUAACUUCAUGGUGUAUGAAAAUAAUAUUAAGUUUAAUAUGAGUUAAAUCUAUUGAAAUGAUAAUUAUGUUAAGAUAAAUUUUUAGAUUAGCCAAGAUUUCUCUUAAGACUUAAGCACAUAAAGAGUAGUAAUUUAGAACUGUGAAAAGUUGAUAAUGAAAGGAAUUUGGACAAAGGUGAAUGUUUUAUAACUUAGAAUCUCCACUACUAUUUAACGAUGUUUUAUUUAAGAUAAAAUUUGAGAACUCAAGUUUAAAUUGCCCCUUCCUCCACACACGUUUUCCCCUAUAAAAAUGACAUAUUCAAUAUACUCUUGCCUUCCUAAAUUGUGGCUGCUAAAUCAUCAGAUCUGCUACAUAUGAUUCAAAGAAAAAGUUCUUAAAACCAACUCUCUUACAGGACUUAAAGGAAUUAGUUUUCUCUCUUAUCUAGACCAAAUCCAUCACCAAUUUGCUUAUUUGAAACUUCGCCAGCUUUUACUUUUGGUUUUCCUCUCCUUUUAAUUGUGUUAGGUCUAAUAUUUAGCACAAUUGGACCUUGAAAAAGGAUCAAAAUUAUGGGAUUUUUUGUUUUGUUUUUGGGGGUCUGGUUAUGAAGUGUGAUUUGGAAGGUAAGAAUAUUCAACUCUUAAGCUUUGUCGUGUGUGUCAGUUGCUUUAAGAACAAAGCUCUGUUCUGCCCUCCAAUCCACGGACUCAUUUCCAUUUGUGGGAGUUCUCUUAGCAAAUUCUGUUUCCUGCCUAGAAGGUCCUCCCAUCUGAACUUGGAGCCUAAAUACAUUUUCAGAUCAAAUGUAUUUAUAAAUUAGAAUCUCCACUACUAUUUAACGAUGUUUUAUUUUAUUAAGAUAAAAUUUGAGAACUCAAGUUUAAAUUGCCCCUUCCUGCACACACGUUUUCCCCUAUAAAAAUGACAUAUUCAAUAUACUCUUGCCUAAAUACAUUUUCAGAUUAACAAGAGGGUGAAGAGAUGCGGCAGCUAUUAUUUUUAGCAGUGUUUAGGAGUUAACACAGUAACAUAUCUAUAAACAGCUUUUCAUGAUAGUGAGAGAAAACGUGAGAGAGUUAAUACGAGAAGCAUAUCUGAAGACGUUUGUGCGGUGUGGGGGAAAACAUAAGUGUCCUGUCAGCUUAUUCCCAAAACACAUUAAGUGGCACAAGCAAAGGCUUACAGGUGGGAGCUGAUGAGCCUUCCAGAGCCUGACAUGAGCAAGUCUGGUUGAGUAGAAAAGCCAGGGUCUGAGAGGUGGAAAUGCUGGCAAGGGGAGGAUGUGUGUAUGUGAGAACAUUUAUUUCCCACGGUGCCAAGCAUCAUGCCCUGUGCUGCACGUACAUUUUUUUUCAUGCCCACAUUUUGUACCAUAAGGUAGGCAGGAUUGGGCUCAGAUAGAUUAAACAAUGUGAUUAAAGUUUUUCAGUACUAAGUGAUAGAGCUCAAGUACAAAACCGGGUCUGAGUUUCCCUGACAUUUGCUUACUUUGUGACUGCAAAACAUGAGCUGCAUUGUGCCAGAGUAAUCUUGUGAAUGACAGAUUGAAUUUGAAAAUAACGUGGGGGGACAGAGGUUUUCUUUAAAAUAAAGAACAUGAAGUCAGAACUAUUACUCAGUGUCAGGGGCAGAAGCUGAGUUACCAUACAGACCAGGGGAAUCUGACUCAGUGGGUCUGGGAUGGAGUCUUGGCUGUUAGUUUGUUAAGUCCCCCAGGCGAUUCUGAUGUGCAAAUUUGAGAGCCACUGACCUUGAUUUUUGUCCCUCAGGUAAGAAUGACUUAGGCUAGGGUUGCCUUUACAACAGGUAUGGACCCAUUCUCUUUUCACCUACAUCAUAUUCUUCUCUGAACAGAUAUUUUUUUGAGUACUUACUACAUACCUGGCAUCAAUGCUCAGACUUAAUCAAACUCAUUUUGAAAUGUAGCAUUAUUGCCCUGGCCACUUUGGCUCAGUGGAUACAGUGUCCUCUCAAGGGCACAUACCUCAUUUGCAGGCU